AUUGAACGCUGGCGGCAGGCCUAACACAUGCAAGUCGAGCGGAUGAAGGGAGCUUGCUCCUGGAUUCAGCGGCGGACGGGUGAGUAAUGCCUAGGAAUCUGCCUGGUAGUGGGGGAUAACGUCCGGAAACGGGCGCUAAUACCGCAUACGUCCUGAGGGAGAAAGUGGGGGAUCUUCGGACCUCACGCUAUCAGAUGAGCCUAGGUCGGAUUAGCGAGUUGGUGGGGUAAAGGUCUACCAGGGCGACGAUCCGUAACUGGUCUGAGAGGAUGAUCAGUCACACUGGAACUGCGACACGGUCCAGACUCCUACGGGCGGCAGCAGUGGGGAAUAUUGGACAAUGGGCGAAAGCCUGAUCCCGCCAUGCCGCGUGUGUGAAGAAGGUCUUCGGAUUGUAAAGCACUUUAAGUUGGGAGGAAGGGCAGUAAGUUAAUACCUUGCUGUUUUGACGUUACCAACAGAAUAAGCACCGGCUAACUUCGUG
rnacentral:rRNA from 1 species